GGUGUUGUUUCAAACCAGAACGCGUAAAGCUGGUCUGAAGCUUUUGAAAUGGAAACUGUCUGUCUUUGGAGAUGAGGAAGCUGAAGAAGAAUUGGACCCAUCCCGCAUUAGGAGCGAGAGCAUUCUAGUUGCUCUCUUCGCCAACCGGGGUUAUGACGAGAAGCCAGAGGUUGCUCUGCCAAGUGGACUAAACGAUAAAGUGACUGGGACAGAGAAUGCAUUGAAAAAGAAGAUCCAGGAAUCCAAGAGCAGACGCUUUUUGGAGAAGGACAAACGCCUUCUGGAAAGAGCUGAAGAGCCUGCACUGUGACC